rnacentral:misc_RNA from 1 species
GAAGAGAGAUCGGUAAUGAAUUGAAUAACAUGGAGACUUGGUGUUGGUUUGACCUCCUUUAACGAGAGGUCGAAAAUGAGAUUGGAUGGCAUGAAGACUUGAUAUUGGUUUGAUCUUUUUGACGAGAGGUCGGAAAUGAAUCGACUAGAUGGGGGAUCGGUUUAUUUUCUAAUCGAGUCAUUCGCAACCGAAGAAUGUCGGGCGGUGCUUGAUCCCAAAGUCCAUUGACUUCGAGGGAUCGGCUAAAAUAUGGUGUCG